GACGAACGCUGGCGGCGUGCUUAACACAUGCAAGUCGAACGGAAAGGCCCUGCUUUUGUGGGGUGCUCGAGUGGCGAACGGGUGAGUAACACGUGAGUAACCUGCCCUUGACUUUGGGAUAACUUCAGGAAACUGGGGCUAAUACCGGAUAGGAGCUCCUGCUGCAUGGUGGGGGUUGGAAAGUUUCGGCGGUUGGGGAUGGACUCGCGGCUUAUCAGCUUGUUGGUGGGGUAGUGGCUUACCAAGGCUUUGCCGGGUAGCCGGCCUGAGAGGGUGACCGGCCACAUUGGGACUGAGAUACGGCCCAGACUCCUAAGGGAGGCAGCAGUGGGGAAUAUUGCACAAUGGGCGGAAGCCUGAUGCAGCAAAGCCGCGUGCGGGAUGACGGCCUUCGGGUUGUAAACCGCUUUCGCCUGUGACGAAGCGUGAGUGACGGUAAUGGGUAAAGAAGCACCGGCUAACUACGUG
rnacentral:rRNA from 1 species